CUGAUUUGUUUCAGAGGAAACCUCUUCUUUCACAGAGAAGAUAGAAGAAUACCAGCAUGGCACACAUACUUUGUCUUGCAACAUGAAGUGGGAAAAUUACAGUCCUGAAGGGCAGCAGAAUUUGAACCAAGGAAGGUGUUAGCUCUGUCCAAGGGAAGCAAGCAGCUGUUCUCCACAUCAGCCAAGACAUUUUCAUGGUAAUGGACCCACAACUAAGAGCUCCAUGUUCAGGUGUGUGGCAGCUCCUACAGAAACAAGAUAUUUGACUGUUCCUACAGCUCUCCAGCCAAGGUAAUAUCAUUUUCAUAGGUGCCUGGGGAGCUGGAGAGG
rnacentral:lncRNA from 1 species